CUCGUUGAAGCCCAGCUUGGUUAGCUCUUGAAUGCUGCGCUGCGACUGCUCAAUGCAGGGCGAAAACGAACAGAAACGACCUCCUGCGAAAAAAGGAAAGGGGAAAUCAGCUUCUAAAGAUUUGAAUAUAUUGGUGGCUAAGCUUUCCCUAACUUUUUUGGUACUUGAUUUGCCUGACAUUUUAUGUGUGUGCCUCCAAUACAGUAGCACCCUAGGUUCGGUGCAAACCCGCUGUACAUUGGAAGCUUCCAUCCGCCUAAUGACAAACUCGCCCGGUCAGCCUGCCUUGGCCGCAUCAAGUGUCAAAAGCGGGCUCAUUCAAUGUCAAACACGGUGAAAUGGCAGCCGGACUGACUAGCUGACUGCAUCUCUGGCUCACUGGAUGGAUAACUGACUGACCGACCGACAGUGUUGGGAUAUUCAAAGCGCUUUGGUACCUUUCCCCAAUUAGGUACAAUCAAAGAACCUAUUUCCCGCUUUAUCUAACUAAAGAAGUAAAUGCCUGUUUACUUAAAAUUGUUUUAAAAAUAGUAGUACUACUUGGUACAGUUUAUUGCUUGUGUAAAUGUACCAGGCCAGCCCAGUUAACCCAACAUAUCCGCCUGAUUGCCGGAUUGCCCGCAAAAGGGCGCUGACAACUAGUUGUCAACGCGAUGUUGGCCACU